GGGCCUGUAGCACAAUCGGUUAGUGCAGGAGACUCAUAAUCUCUUGGUUCCAGGUUCGAGUCCUGGCGGGCCCAUCA
rnacentral:tRNA from 2 species